rnacentral:rRNA from 1 species
AUUGAACGCUGGCGGCAUGCCUUACACAUGCAAGUCGAACGGUAACAGGUCUUCGGAUGCUGACGAGUGGCGAACGGGUGAGUAAUACAUCGGAACGUGCCCGAUCGUGGGGGAUAACGAGGCGAAAGCUUUGCUAAUACCGCAUACGAUCUACGGAUGAAAGCGGGGGAUCUUCGGACCUCGCGCGGACGGAGCGGCCGAUGGCAGAUUAGGUAGUUGGUGGGAUAAAAGCUUACCAAGCCGACGAUCUGUAGCUGGUCUGAGAGGAUGAUCAGCCACACUGGGACUGAGACACGGCCCAGACUCCUACGGGAGGCAGCAGUGGGGAAUUUUGGACAAUGGGCGAAAGCCUGAUCCAGCCAUGCCGCGUGCAGGAUGAGGGCCUUCGGGUUGUAAACUGCUUUUGUACGGAACGAAAAGCCUCUUUCUAAUAAAGAGGGGUCAUGACGGUACCGUAAGAAUAAGCACCGGCUAACUACGUG